AGGGAUUGUUAUCCCACUAGGAAGUCAAGGAAAUCAAGGCUCAGAGAAGUUACAAGAUCUGCCCAGAGCCACAGCCGAUGGCAGAACUGAGCCCCAAGCCUGGGUGCCCCGGCUUCUGUCCCCUUCAUGACACCGCGUUUUGCCAGUGUGGCUCUGGUGUUACCUCCUGUAACUGUUUUCCCUGUUUUCAUCAGCCAAGCCUGUGCCUUUUCUGGUUGCAAGCUCUCUACGUCAUCGUAUCUUCUCCUGCUCGGUCUCCCUUUGGGAAGCUUCCUCCUGGAUCUGUAGGAUCUCCAUCAUGCCUUUUGUGCCCUUUAGCUCCUCCUUGAGGCCUGACGAUCAGAAUGCCCUAUCUUGAUCGUUGGAGUUCGUGGCAUUACAGGACCUCCAAAGUCACCUCCAGAGGAGAAGUCUGUUCGGGUUUGCCUUUCUGUUCUUCUCCCAGGUUGGCCGGUCCACUCAGGCUCUCGCUCUGGGAAUCUCCAAACCAAAGGCAGUGGUCCACUGCUUGUCUCCUUGCUUGUGGCUGAUGGCUGAAUUCAUUUUCCUGCUGCGGCCAAGACCUCAAACCGGUGCGGCUUUUCUUCUGAACUGGGGAGGUAUGAACAGGCCUGACGGGGCCAGAGUGUGGAGCCAAUGUUACUGAGUCCUUUUCCAGGCUGUUGAGGGCAUCCUGUCUUCUGCUGAGGCCCCUAACCUACCUUCAGCCAGGAGUGGAAAGUAUAUGCUACCGUCUGGCUUGUGUGGGGUUCCUUCACAGGCCAGGUGCUUCCAGGAGACAGCUCGGAUCUCAGAAGGGCUCUGUGAAGGCGGUCAGAAGUCAUCUUCUCUUUAGAGCUGAUGGGAGGCUAGCCUGGUUGUUAUGAGUUUCAAAUAGCCUGGAGUAAUACACCUAAGAGGCUGACCCCUCUGGGCCCUUUUCAGAGGCUGGACUUGACUUUGUGAGACAUGAGGUUAAGAUGUCACCAGGCCUGUGUAAUGUAGUGGUGGUGAACGUGGGCUAUGAAACAGGGCUGGGUGUGAGUUGUGGUUCAAUCACCUGCUAGUGUCAUGCUGAACAAGCUCCUUAACCUCUCGUCCUCACAUCGCUCGUCUGUUUAAAAAUAAUGGGGAUAAUGAUUCCUGCUGGAUCAUCACAGGAUGUCAAUGAGAAACGUGUCAAGGGCUUAGCAUGGGGCCCAGCAUAGGUAAAUGAUAUCUCUGUAAAAGGUGGGUAUUAUUAUUUAAUCCCGGAAAUAAUGGAUGACCAUUGAAGGUGAUAGGGUGACUAUCUCUGGCCGUUAAUUUAUCUGAAAAAGCUCAUUGGGUAGUAUGUGUCCGGCACUGUAGGCAUUGCCAUGCACUAUCUUGUUGAACAUUCACAAUCACUUUGCCAGGCUAGCAGUCUUGUCUCCAUUAUUAGAGAAGGAACAGCCUCAGAGCGGGUAAGGGGUCUGUACCAGAUCUCACCAGCCGAGGGCGCUAGCUCUUGCUUGAAAGCUCGUGCUUUGCCUUAUCUCUGGAGGCCUGUGGCCAGUUUGUUCAGACAGCUCCAGUCCGGACACCUCGGCAGCUUGUGGGUGAUCCCGCCUUCCAGGAUCUUCCAGACUGAAAUUUUCCUUCUGCCGCCUUACCCUGUGGUUGCUUCCCUACUUGUUUUUGUCUGCCGGCCUUGUAGGAGUAAGAAAUCCAUUUCAAAUAUGCUGAAAGCUGUUACCAAGCAACUGUGCUGGUUAAAAGCAACCUCGUGGGUGAGAUGACGAGUGGAGAGUUAGGGUUUUAGGUCCUGUGGUCGGUCGUGGUCUCUGUUUCCCUGCUCCCCUGCCUUCUAUCCUACCCCGUUCACUGCUGGGUGAAGGAGAGAUCCUUGCGUUUUGGAACGAAGGGAACCCUUGAGGCAGCUCUUUUGUAGACAAGGAAUGUGUUCGUGCAAGGCUGUGCUUCCAACAGCUGGGUGGGAGCGCUGGCCUGAACGCUCUUCCCUGGCCGUGUUUGCCUGUGACCGCUGUGUUGGGAGCAGCAUUGCUCUCCAGACUUGGAGAACCGGCUUCCAGUGCUCUUGGCCCUCUCUGCCUUCAUCCCACCCCUGAGAGACUGGGCGGGUCUGUUUACUAACUCGCUGCUUCCCAUCUCCUCCUGUCUUGCUGUCUAAGAGGUCUCCCCUUUUGCCCGAUGUGCUCAGGGGAACCUCUGGCUCUCCAGCCCCUCUGCGUGGCUGUGCCUGUGGCCACUGCUGCUGAGACCCGGCCGAGGUUCCUGCUCUCCCUCCCUCCCACAGACGGGCCGUCUUGUCCUUGGGAAGGACCGACCACUCUCCGCAGCUGAGCGUUCUCACCGGCUUCACUGUCUCAGUGCUUGGAGCUCCUGUGCAUCACGCCUGUGUGGUGACUGUGGGUUAUCCACCUGAGUGCUACCUUCCACCCUAAUCGGUACAUGCUCAGGGAGCAGGAAAUACAAUCAUGAAAUGCCUCUAAAUAAAAUUACUUUUGGAUACUUCUGUUCGAAAAGAUAAUUAAGAAGUGGGUCAUACCUUAAAAAAAACAAAAGGGAUGUGGGGAUACCGGUUUGGCUGCUUCUGCGUUUGAUAGCUCCACGAGAGUGACGUGUUGGAACACGUGUGAUGAGACUUGGUAGAAUGAAUUAGGGAAUGGAGCUGCAGCCCUGUGGCUGUGGAGUCCCUUUUUCUAUGGGGCCGCCUACACCAGUCUUGCCUUCUCGUCUCUUUCCUUAGAUAACUUCUGACUAGAGUCUGCUGUAGGAUUACAGAUACUUCAGAAUCCACAACCCAUCCUUCGACUUCAUUUUCAGCAAAUCAACAACGACAGAAAUCAGUGUUUAAGGUUUAUAGAGCCAUGUUGCUAGAUUACAGGCAUUGUUCUUUUGGUUUUAAAAAUCCAAGACUUUUUAAGAUAAGUUUGAAGAUGUGCCGUAGCUUCCUUGCAGAUAGCAUUUUUAAUAAAGCGAACAGACCUUCACCUGAAGUUAAAUACUGAUAUCUGUGUAGCUCUCGAUAAGAUUGACAAAAGAAUUUACAUUUAGAAGUCUAAAUUUUUUAGCAAUUUCUAUUUAAAAAGUUGGGGGAUUGAAUCAUGUGACUUUCAAGCACCUUCUAAUUCAUACUUUUAUGCAAUUCUGAGAUCUGGAGGAUUUUUUGUCAAGUGGAGAGUGCCGUGCAGUGUUCUUGCCUCCAGUUUACUUGAGAUAGGGCGUUUAGUCCCACUUUGCGGUUAUUUCCGGUCCUACCCUGAAUGCAUAGGUGGCACUCCUAAGCCCCUGGUACACUUAAGCUUUGCUGUUGAUGCCUCAGAUUUCUGUCCCUUGACCUCACAAAGGGCCUCACAAAGCACCGGCAGAGGUCUCACCACAGAGCUUGUGAGCAGAGCCUAUGGUCCGUCAGAGCCUUUGUUAAUGUAAAUUGACUGAAUAAAAUUAUGUCCUUCUUAGCAGGAGCUGAUAAACUGACGAUGGGCUUGGAAAUGUACAAAACAUUUUCUAUAGACGGGAUGAGCUGAAAGCAGGGAAGAGUGUGUUCACUAGACAGGAGGAACAUGGCUAUUUGGAGUGAAAGGUCAGUCCACAGCAUCAUAAUAAACAAUUACUACCGAUGUGGAUAUUCACGACAAAGUAAUGACACUACACUUAAUAAACAGCACCAAAAAAUAGACAUAGCAUGGACAAAAGUUCCCUGAUAUAAAUGGCUGCCUAGACUUAAUAUCCUUGUGGAUCCUUGGGAGGUAUCCUUUGAGACCAAACUGAGACUUGUCAGAGAAUGUUGCCCUCUGCCUGUUGAACUACCAUACUGCAAGAAGUAAUGAGCCUUAAGUACAGAUGAACCUUGUGUAAUGUCUUAAAGGGGAACCAUAGUUUACAUGCAAUCUUGUGUGGUCUUUGUGCUAUGAGAAGUGCUUAUUUCGCCUUUUUCAAUAUUUCUGCUUGACUUUGCCAUUUGGAACAAGGAAAACAAAAAAAUUAAAACCUCUGAUCUUUCACUGCUUUUGUACCUUCUGAUUCUGCAGUUAAGGGUAAGGAUGCUCAAAAGCCCAUGGGGAGUUUAUAUGCGUUCAGAACGUUGUACCUGUUUUAGUGUGAUGAGCUUUUAAAACACUUUGUUAAAACAUCAAUUUUUGUAAUUGUAUAGAUACUCAGCUCAUUUUGAAUGCUGCUGGUGGCAUACCUAAAUUUUCAUAUCGCAAAAUGUAUUCUUGUGUGCUGCUUUUCCUACCUUGAGAUGCUGUUUCACACAAUGAAGAUUGUUUUCUUUUUACUGACUCAUUUCAGAGAAAGAAUUGAGCUGGUUUUUUCCCCCAAGUAUCACGAAACAAUUCUUUUUUUUGCUUUUUUCCUCCAAUAAAUGACAGCAUUAUGAUCUUUAGU
ensembl:lncRNA